GAUGAACGCUGGCGGCGUGCCUAAUACAUGCAAGUCGAGCGAACAGAUGAGGAGCUUGCUACUCUGACGUUAGCGGCGGACGGGUGAGUAACACGUGGAUAACCUACCUAUAAGACUGGGAUAACUUCGGGAAACCGGAGCUAAUACCGGAUAAUAUAUUGAACCGCAUGGUUCAAUAGUGAAAGCCGGUUUUGCUGUAACUUAUAGAUGGAUCCGCGCCGCAUUAGCUAGUUGGUAAGGUAACGGCUUACCAAGGCAACGAUGCGUAGCCGACCUGAGAGGGUGAUCGGGCACAGUGGAACUGAGACACCGUCCAGACUCCUACGGGCGGCAGCAGUAGGGAAUCUUCCGCAAUGGGCGAAAGCCUGACGGAUCAACGCCGCGUGAGUGAUGAAGGUCUUCGGGUCGUAAAACUCUGUUAUUAUUGAAGAACAAAUGUGUAAGUAACGAUGCACGUCUUGACGGUACCUAAUCAGAAAGCCACGGCUAACUACGUG
rnacentral:rRNA from 1 species